CUCCCGACCUCCCUCAUCAGACGUAGCAUCAACCUCAUGAGAUGCAUAUUCUAUUGGAAGCAGCCUUGUCAAUUUGUGAAUAGCUUGCCAGCUCCCUUUUCUCAUUCCUCAGCUUUGAUUUAUUUCAUUCCUUCUGCCUGCUGUGCCUGUCCUUUUUAUCUCUGCCAGUUAACUUUCUACUUCUCCUUCAAGGUCUUUCUUGAGACCACAAGCGCCUUGACACCCUCUAGAAUCAGACUAACCAAGCACAGCACUGCCCUGGAGUUCGUGCGAAAUAUUUGCCCCAUCGCUGCACUCAUCUGCGACACUGCAAUUAUCGCUGUGGUUCCAAGAGGUUAGCUCAGACGUGUUCCCAUGACAGUCUCGGGGCAGCACAGAACCAAGUAGAGAGGCUGUCAGGACCUCUGAGAUCUUGGCUUGGAACUCCCAUCAUGGCCUUACCACUGCAAGUCUACUGAAGCAAAUCAUAAGGCCAUAACAGAUUCAAAUAUUGAAGAAAUGGACACAUCUCUUGAUGAGGGGAGCCACAAUGUCACAUCUCAAAGGUCUACAGAUGGAGAGAAAUUUUGCCCACGGAUGGGUUACUUUGCAGGAUGGUAUGUCUCAGGCCAAUUUUGAUGUGGACAGGAAUUAACUUGAUGGAAUAUUUAAUGAGAACACCAUGUGUGGGUUUUUCACAAGAGAUAACAAUGCCUUCCCGUAUACAAGUGUUUACAAAACACAACUGAACUGAUUCACCAAUCCACAAUGUUGUUAAUCAGCUAUAUCCUAAUAGAAAA